rnacentral:rRNA from 1 species
UACGGAGGGUGCAAGCGUUAAUCGGAAUUACUGGGCGUAAAGCGCGCGUAGGUGGUUUGAUAAGCGAGAUGUGAAAGCCCGGGCUUAACCUGGGAACGGCAUUUCGAACUGUCAGGCUAGAGUAUGGUAGAGGGUAGUGGAAUUUCCUGUGAUAGCGGUGAAAUGCGUAGAUAUAGGAAAGGAACGACCAGUGGCGGAAGGCG